CUGGCUGGGCCACGCCCCCUAGCUAGCCUCUGAGGGAAGAUCUCCGCUGCCUCUCCAGCUCUCCUGGGUGGGCCGCGUCCCCUCGCUAGGCUCUGAGGGAAGAUCCUCGCUGCCUCUCCAGCUCUCCUGGCUGGGCCGCGCCCCCUCGCCAGGCUCUGAGGGAAGAUCCUCGCUGCCUCUCCAGCUCUCCUGGCUGGGCCGCGCCCCCUCGCCAGGCUCUAACGCAAGAUCCUCGCUGCCUCUCCAGCUUUCCUGGUGCCCGCCGUGCUUGGCUUGCGGCUGGUUCACUCCGAUUUCUGCCUCCCUCUGACGAGGCCCUCUGCGAUUCCAGUGGACCCCCCAGGACAGUCAGCUCCCAUCUUCAGGCCCUUCGCUGGCCCACCUGCAGGGUCCGUGGAAGGGACAUUCACAGGCUCCGCCGACUGCAACAUGGGUAUCUGUAGGAGGCCAUUAUUUAGUCUACAAUAGGGCCACUAACUACUCUCUAGUUUACAUUCAAAAUUUUUCUUACUUACAUGUUUUUUUUUUCUGUGACUGCUGCAUGGGGACAUGAAAGUCAUGAAUAAAUAAAAAGCUCAUUCCUCC
rnacentral:lncRNA from 1 species